UGGACGGUGUGAGCUGCAAUGCUCUGUUUUCUCUAAUGCUAUCAACCUUCUUUCAUGGGUUUUGCCGUUUUAUGCUCACAACACAAGGCAAUGCUCAUGGGUUUUGCCGUUUUAUGCUCACAACACAAGGCAAUGCUCCAAGUAUCUGGAACUGAUUGGACCAUAUGGUCCUUAGUGUGGACUUAGUUUUGAUCUCUGGAGAAUCAAUCAGGUGCUGCGUCGAAAUUCCCUAU